UGGCUGAGUGGUACAGCGCUUGGCUUCCGAACCGGGAUCCCUGGUUCGAAUCCAGG
rnacentral:tRNA from 1 species